AGUUGUAGCUGGCUCCCAGAGAGCCUCAGUUCCAGACAAAAGGGAAGGGACUGUAAAGAUGUUUAGAAAAAAACUUUACCUCAGAAUGAAAGGAAUAAAGGUGGAGUUUGCUGAUGACUCAAAAUGAGUGGUGAGGUGAACACAUCAGAAGGAGGAGACAUCUUACAGAGGAUUGAGAGACCUGGACACGCUGGAAGGCUGUGCUCACACUCCCAGAUAUAUCUGUGUCCAUUUGUUUCAACCAUCUCUCCAAAGAGAUGCCAGAAGGCAAGUACAGCACCUUUCCUGAUGUCUCAGGAUGAGGAGGAUGAGUUGAUGGUGGGGUGAUCUGUGCUGACUCAAGCAGGCUCCUGUGUAUUGCUCCCUGCUGCUUUCCCUGGCUCUUGGUGCCCACUUACCUCAGAGGUUCUCAAUGUGCAAAGGCAAAGAAAAGAGGAAGGUUUACAUCAACCCUUUCCAUUUUCCUCUGGAAAUAAAAUUCAUGAUACAGUGCUAGAAUUACUGUUUUGUUUUUGUUCUCUUGUUUUUCAUUUUUCUGUUUUUAUCUUUAUUUCUUGUUUUUAGGUGGAUGAUAAAACUGGUUUAUCUUAAAUCAAGGAUCUUCUGCCUCUUUACUCAGUGAGAAGAAGAAGGAGCCAAUCCCAAGUGCAAAGGAAUGGAUAUUUUUAUUGCCAACAUCUGUAGUCAUGGAAGUCAUCCACUUCUCUUUUUACUCUGAUUAAUUAGGGGAUAUUUGGUUUUAGCUUUAUUUUUGUUUAUUGUCAUUUUCCCUCUGUCACCAAGGCCCUAUAAAGGUCAAUAAACCCCAGUAAAGAUCAAUAAAUUUUUUAGAAAAUACUUUUUUUUCCAUUUUUAAGAAACUGAAAACAUAAAAAGUUUCAGGUCCCACUGCAGAAUGUUACAAACACUUGAUAUAAAGAAAUGGGGGCAGACUUCAGGGAAUUAAUAACUAAAUCUGCAUCAAUGCCAUUCACAUAAUUUGUAAUGUAAGGAUUUAGUGAAAACAUAAUGUAUCUAUUUGAUGAGUGAAGAAAUACUGGGCUGUGUUAUAUGACAGAAUGAAAAUAUUUUGUACAAAUGACCUCUGUACAGAACUUAUGCAAGGAAAUUCAUAACACUUUAACCUGGCACUGUUUAUCAUACCCAUAACACACCCAUCCAUGUGAUCAUAGAGGCUGUUCCUACAGAAUUAAAAUAUUAUUGGUCUAGGGAGCAGUUUUGUUGUAUUUUGACCACCUGAAGAAUCAAUAAGGGUUUCCAUCACUGGAAUUACAAAGAAUUCCAACAAGGUAUGUGUACCAAAGAUAGAAAAUUGUAACAAAAAUUAAAUAGUAGACUGGAGAGAAAGGGAGAAUAUAGGGCUGUGAAAUGUUGUGCUGGCUUAUUUUUAAGAGCUAACUGAACUCUCCAAGUGAAAAAUAGACAGCAACAGUCUACCCAGCAGUAAUAGUUACAAUUAUUACAUGAAUAAAUGGAAAAUGAAAAUAAUGAUUUGGUUUGGUUUGGUGAGGUUUUUUUAACUUUUGUUAUUUUGUAAUAUGCUUUAAUGCUAUUGAUGAUAUAAUCUAUUUUUUCAUUAGCAAUUAUAUGAACUAUCUGCUUGCAAAUGUUACUGGUUUUGAAAUAUUCACCUGUGAACAAAUGAGCCUGUAUGCAGCAGGUUAAAUGGAGUCUAGGACACAGUAAACAUUCUUGUUUCUUUAUAUAUCAUACUCACAGCUGAAAAAAUGGACAGAGGAAUGAAAACACUUCUAUUUGUUCAGGUAAAGACAAUAUUAUGCAUGCAAGUGGUCUCCUUACUCUGAAAAACAGUCAUGAUGAGUUUCUUGAUUUCCAAAAUAUUCAGGAGUAAAACAUCAAAGAAAUAAUAUGCUCCUAACAUUAACACAGUUCACAUUUCAAAUCCUGCCCAGACUGCUUGGUUGUUUUGUUUGCUGUUACUGAAUUCAAAUUGUAAUGUUUUCCAUUGCUGUGAGAAAUUUUUCCCUAUUCAAAUAUUUUUCUCCAAAUAUGUUUCUCUAAACAUCAUUCUCAAGGUACUCAACAUCUAAUAAUGAAGAAACUAUGCUUGUUCUCUUUGGUCUCCUCUUUUGAUGUGUUAUGAGGGUAGGUUUUACUUUUAUUGUGUUUUGUAGUUCUGUUGUCAAGACUGAGCUAUGUGUUCAGUCACUUAGUGAGGAGACUUUAUAAAUAUAUUUAUUAUUCUCCUCCAGAUAAUAGUUUGAUUUGGGUCCUGUUCUCAUUGUUUUUUGUAUCCCUUGAAGAAUAGAGAAUUUAGGUUGUUCUUUUUCAUGUUAUUUGUUCUCCUUGUAGAACAAAUAACAAACUGGAAAAGAAAUGUACUAGUGUGUUCAUUCCAUAAAUAAAUAGAGAAUCGGGUGAAACGGAACAUUUUUUUUAUUGUUUUUUCCAAAGAUGAGACCAAGACAUAAAAAGGAAAGUUAAAUCAAAUAAUACUACUGAAUAUCAAAUAAAUACAAUAAACAUCAAAUAAAUCCACAGAACACCAGAAGAUGAGAAGCCAAUAGCUACAGUGCAUGGUAGCAUCAUGGUAUUGAUGCAGAACAUCACAGAGGCAGUGGGGGGCUGUGACUAAGACAUUCCCUUGCUUCCCUCCCCCAC